rnacentral:rRNA from 1 species
CUACGGGAGGCAGCAGUGAGGAAUAUUGGGCAAUGGGGGAAACCCUGACCCAGCAAUGCCGCGUGCGGGAAGACGCCUUUCGGGGUGUAAACCCCUUUCAGCAGGGACGAAUCAAGACGGUACCUGCAGAAGAAGCCCCGGCUAACUACGUGCCAGCAGCCGCGGUAACACGUAGGGGGCAAGCGUUGUCCGGAUUUAUUGGGCGUAAAGAGCUCGUAGGCGGCUCGGUAAGUCGGGUGUCAAAUCCCCAGGCUCAACCUGGGGCUGCACUCGAUACUGCUGUGGCUAGAGUCCGGUAGGGGAGCAUGGAAUUCCUGGUGUAGCGGUGAAAUGCGCAGAUAUCAGGAGGAACACCAGCGGCGAAGGCGGUGCUCUGGGCCGGAACUGACGCUGAGGAGCGAAAGCGUGGGUAGCAAACAGGAUUAGAUACCCCAGUAGUCC